AACGAACGCUGGCGGCAUGCCUAACACAUGCAAGUCGAACGAGACCUUCGGGUCUAGUGGCGCACGGGUGCGUAACGCGUGGGAACCUGCCCUUAGGUUCGGAAUAACUCCCCGAAAGGGGUGCUAAUACCGGAUAAUGUCUUCGGACCAAAGAUUUAUCGCCUUUGGAUGGGCCCGCGUUGGAUUAGCUAGUUGGUAGGGUAAAAGCCUACCAAGGCGACGAUCCAUAGCUGGUCUGAGAGGAUGAUCAGCCACACUGGGACUGAGACACGGCCCAGACUCCUACGGGAGGCAGCAGUGGGGAAUAUUGGACAAUGGGCGAAAGCCUGAUCAAGCAAUGCCGCGUGAGUGAUGAAGGCCUUAGGGUUGUAAAGCUCUUUUAGCCGGGAUGAUAAUGACAGUACCGGGAGAAUAAGCUCCGGCUAACUCCGUG
rnacentral:rRNA from 1 species